GUGCUCACUUGUGCAGCAUAUAUACUAAAAUUUGAAUGAUACAGAGAUGAUUAGCAUGGCCCUUGCGCAAGAAUGACGUACAUAUUCGUGAAGCAUUCCAUAUAUUU
ensembl:snRNA U6 U6 spliceosomal RNA